rnacentral:rRNA from 1 species
UACGUAGGGUGCAAGCGUUAAUCGGAAUUACUGGGCGUAAAGCGUGCGCAGGCGGUUAUGCAAGACAGAUGUGAAAUCCCCGGGCUCAACCUGGGAACUGCAUUUGUGACUGCAUGGCUAGAGUACGGUAGAGGGGGAUGGAAUUCCGCGUGUAGCAGUGAAAUGCGUAGAUAUGCGGAGGAACACCGAUGGCGACGGCAAUCCCCUGGACCUGUACUGACGCUCAUGCACGAAAGCGUGGGGAGCAAACAGG